rnacentral:tRNA from 1 species
GCCCACUUAGCUCAAAGGUU